rnacentral:rRNA from 1 species
GACGAACGCUGGCGGCGUGCUUAACACAUGCAAGUCGAACGGAAAGGCCCUGCUUUUGUUGGUUGCUCGAUUGGCGAACGGGUGAGUAACACGCGAGUAACCUGCCCUUGACUUUGGGAUAACUUCAGGGAACUGGGGCUCAUACCGGAUAGGAUCUCCUGCUGCAUGGUGGGGGUUGGAAAGUUUCGGCGGUUGUGGAUGGACUCGCGGCUUAUCAGCUUGUUGGUGGGGUAGUGGCUUACCAAGGCUUUGACGGGUAGCCGGCCUGAGAGGGUGACCGGCCACAUUGGGCCUGAGAUACGGACCAGACUGCUACGGGAGGCAGCAGUGGGGAGUAUUGCACAAUGGGCGGAAGCCAGAUGCAGCGACGCCGCGUGCGGGAUGACGGGCUUCGGGUUGUAAACCGCUUUCGCCUGUGACGAAGCGUGAGUGACGGUAAUGAGUAAAGAAGCAACGGCUAACUACGUG